UCGGGAAUAUUGCGCAAUGGAGGAAACUCUGACGCAGUGACGCCGCGUGCAGGAAGAAGGUUUUCGGAUUGUAAACUGCUUUAGACAGGGAAGAAAAAGGACAGUACCUGUAGAAUAAGCUCCGGCUAACUACGUGCCAGCAGCCGCGGUAAUACGUAGGGAGCAAGCGUUAUCCGGAUUUAUUGGGUGUAAAGGGUGCGUAGACGGGAGAUCAAGUUGGUUGUGAAAUCCCUCGGCUUAACUGAGGAACUGCAACCAAAACUGAUUUUCUUGAGUGCUGGAGAGGAAAGUGGAAUUCCUAGUGUAGCGGUGAAAUGCGUAGAUAUUAGGAGGAACACCAGUGGCGAAGGCGACUUUCUGGACAAUAACUGACGUUGAGGCACGAAAGUGUGGGGAGCAA
rnacentral:rRNA from 1 species